rnacentral:rRNA from 1 species
CGCUGGCGGCAGGCCUCUUCACAUGCAAGUCGAGCGGAAACGAGUUAUCUGAACCUUCGGGGAACGAUAUCGGCGUCGAGCGGCGGACGGGUGAGUAAUGCCUGGGAAAUUGCCCUGAUGUGGGGGAUAACCAUUGGAAACGAUGGCUAAUACCGCAUAAUAGCUUCGGCUCAAAGAGGGGGACCUUCGGGCCUCUCGCGUCAUAUGCCCAGGUGGGAUUGAUAGCUAGUUGGUGAGGUAAGGGCUCACCAAGGCGACGAUCCCUAGCUGGUAGAGGAUGAUCAGCCACACUGGAACUGAGACACGGUCCAGACUCCUACGGGAGGCAGCAGUGGGGAAUAUUGCACAAUGGGCGCAAGCCUGAUGCAGCCAUGCCGCGUGUGUGAAGAAGGCCUUCGGGUUGUAAAGCACUUUCAGUCGUGAGGAAGGUAGUGUAGUUAAUAGAUGCAUUAUUUGACGUUAGCGACAGAAGAAGCACCGGCUAACUCCGUGCCAGCAGCCGCGGUAAUACGGAGGGUGCGAGCGUUAAUCGGAAUUACUGGGCGUAAAGCGCAUGCAGGUGGUGUGUUAAGUCAGAUGUGAAAGCCCGGGGCUCAACCUCGGAAUAGCAUUUGAAACUGGCAGACUAGAGAGUACUGUAGAGGGGGGUAGAAUUAAGCC